UACGAAGGGGGCUAGCGUUGCUCGGAAUCACUGGGCGUAAAGGGUGCGUAGGCGGGUCUUUAAGUCAGGGGUGAAAUCCUGGAGCUCAACUCCAGAACUGCCUUUGAUACUGAGGAUCUUGAGUUCGGGGAGAGGUGAGUGGAACUGCGAGUGUAGAGGUGAAAUUCGUAGAUAUUCGCAAGAACACCAGUGGCGAAGGCGGCUCACUGGCCCGAUACUGACGCUGAGGCACGAAAGCGUGGG
rnacentral:rRNA from 1 species